rnacentral:misc_RNA from 1 species
CAGACCGGUGAGCUUUGGCUUAGAGGUCCUUCUAUUAUGAAAGGUUACUUUUUAAAUACUGAAGCUACAUCAACAACUCUUGACUCCGAGGGAUGGUUAAGAACUGGGGAUCUAUGCUACAUUGAUGAUGACGGCUUUAUUUUUGUUGUUGAUCGACUGAAGGAGUUGAUCAAAUACAAGGGAUAUCAGGUCCCUCCUGCGGAACUAGAGGCCUUGUUGCUUACUCAUGAGGAAAUUUCCGAUGCUGCUGUAAUCCCGUUUCCGGACAAGGAGGCUGGGCAAUUUCCCAUGGCAUAUGUUGUAAGAAAGGCCGGAAGUAAUUUAUCUGAGAGUGCUGUCAUGGAUUUCGUGGCAAGACAGGCGGCCCCAUACAAGAGAAUCCGAAGAGUUGCAUUUAUUGGAGCCAUACCCAAGAAUCCAUCAGGCAAGAUUCUCAGGAAGGAUCUGAUAAAGCUUGCCUGAUGGAUUCUUGUUUGGGUUUUGGAAUAACAAAUGUCCUUAAAACAAUGGACUACUAGAAUGUCCAUAUCAAUUGCCAUUUUUUA